GUGACUGUAGCUCAACCGGUUAGAGCACCGGACUGUGGCUCCGGGGGUUGGGGGUUCAAGUCCCCUCAGUCACC
rnacentral:tRNA from 1 species